CCUACGGGCGGCAGCAGUGGGGAAUAUUGGACAGUGGGGGCAACCCUGAUCCAGCCAUGCCGCGUGUGUGAAGAAGGCCCUCGGGUUGUAAAGCACUUUCAGUGAGGAAGAACGCCUGGUGGUUAAUACCCAUCAGGAAAGACAUCACUCACAGAAGAAGCACCGGCUAACUCCGUGCCAGCAGCCGCGGUAAUACGGAGGGUGCGAGCGUUAAUCGGAAUUACUGGGCGUAAAGCGCGCGUAGGUGGCUUGAUAAGCCGGUUGUGAAAGCCCCGGGCUCAACCUGGGAACGGCAUCCGGAACUGUCAAGCUAGAGUGCAGGAGAGGAAGGUAGAAUUCCCGGUGUAGCGGUGAAAUGCGUAGAGAUCGGGAGGAAUACCAGUGGCGAAGGCGGCCUUCUGGACUGACACUGACACUGAGGUGCGAAAGCGUGGGUAGCAAACAGGAUUAGAUACCCUUGUAGUC
rnacentral:rRNA from 1 species